rnacentral:rRNA from 1 species
CCUACGGGUGGCUGCAGUGAGGAAUAUUGGUCAAUGUCCGGAAGGCUGAACCCGCCAUGCCGCGUGAAGGUCAGUGCCCUAUGGGUUGUAAACUUCUUUUAUAAAGGAAUAAAACGAGGCACGUGUGCCUUUUUGCAUGUACUUUAUGAAUAAGGAUCGGCUAACUCCGUGCCAGCAGCCGCGGUAAUACGGAGGAUCCGAGCGUUAUCCGGAUUUAUUGGGUUUAAAGGGAGCGUAGAUGGGUUGUUAAGUCAGUUGUGAAAGUUUGCGGCUCAACCGUAAAAUUGCAGUUGAAACUGGCAGUCUUGAGUACAGUAGAGGUGGGCGGAAUUCGUGGUGUAGCGGUGAAAUGCUUAGAUAUCACGAAGAACUCCGAUUGCGAAGGCAGCUCACUGGACUGCAACUGACACUGAUGCUCGAAAGUGUGGGUAUCAAACAGGAUUAGAUACCCUAGUAGUC